ACUAUAACAGAAAGAUGAGAGUUGUUAAUUAUCUGGCUGCUUCCUGCUAAAUAGGGGCACUGUAGUCAGGGUUUGGGUUUUGAAGCAGUGUGUGUCGUCUUCAGAGUUGUUUUCUUGGAGGUGCUGAUACUGGACUUGGUGGAGAAGGAUGGUAUUAAUGUGUUUCUAGGUGGCUGCCUGGACAAGAGAGUUCAGCCUUUGGGAGAUAAAGCAGGAUAUAAACGAAGCACCCUUGAGUUUGAUACAUGGAGAGCUGCACCGGCAGAGAGGCCAGGGUUGGUAGGAGGUGUUUUAUGAAAUCCAGCUUGUAACAUGUUUCGUUUAGAGGCCAUGAAGUAAAGGAGGGUGACAUCCCAGUGUGUGACAGUGUGGGUUUAUUUGAUGGAUUGGGGGAAAGGUGUUUAGCUGAGCAAGAUUAUAAACAGGUUUUGGGAAUGGAUUGGCUGAGUAGGUGAGAUGCAGGCUUAUUUUGGACGAGGUUUAUGUGGUUAGGUUAACAGGAAGGGCUGUGAUCUGCUGGAUUUAUGUGGACAAAUAAAUUUAACAGUUGGAAGAAAGAGGGAAGUGUAACUGAUUAAAAGAUAAUGUGUGAGGUUGACAAAGGGGCCCCAACUGCCAAAGGUUGGGGGCGGGGACUUAGAGUAUCCAACAGACAAAGAAGACAAAAAGAAAAAACAAAAACGGAGAUUUGAGUAGGAGUGAUAUCUUGGAAGGUGUCCUGCAGCCAUAGCUCCUGGAUUAAUGUGAGGAACUGGAAUGGUCUAUCCAGGGACACGGGAGGGAAUACUGGGAAAGAUUUGAAACAAAGUAUGAGAUAAAAGAUUUGAAAUUGGAGGCAGAGAAUGUCACGGACCAGGGCCUUCUGGAUCGGCAACUUCUGGAAUUUUUGUAAGCGCAGCAAAUCAGUCCUGUGAGGGAGGAAGAAUAAUUUGGGGAUGAGGAAAUUUCUGGAAGUGGAACUGGUGGUCUUUUUAGUUUGGAAUGGUGUAUCCAGUAUGGAUAGGAUGUUAGCUUUGCCGCCAUGAGAGUAGUUAGGAUUACCUGGUGAGGACCCAUCCACUUUGGUUGGAGAGAGGAGGAGGAGGAGUCUGUGAUUCAGACCCUGUCCCCUGGUUGUAGGGACAGGGAGGAGUGUCUGGAGGAUGGGCUUUCAGGCUGGGGCAAGUAAGCAUUUGCACACUGUCUUAUUAGAUGUUGAGUGAGGUGUAAUGCCGGCCAAGUAUCCCAUAUAGAAGGGGGAGGAGAUGAAGGAAGAUCCUGGAGGAUAAAGGGGCAUCUGUACAUGAGUUCAAAUGGGCUUAGGCUGAGGGGCUUGUGGGGAAUGGCUCACAAAUGCAUGAGGGCCAAUGGGAGAAGUGAAGUCCAGGUCAUCUUAACCUCUAGGGAGAGUUUGGUUAGUUGUUGUUUUAGAAGGGCAUUGGUCUGUUCAAUCUUACUGGAAGAUUGGGGGUUAUAGGGAAUAUGGAAAGCCCAUUUAAUGUUUAGAGCCUUUGCUAGCUGUUGGUUAACCUGUGAAAUAAACGUUGGCCCAUUGUCUGACUGGAUGGUAGAGGGGAGUUCAAACUGGGGGAUAGUAUGAGUGAGGAGAAUAGAAGUGACAGUGUGUGCCUUUUUGGUGGUGGCAGGAAAAGCUUUUAUCCAGAGAAUGUAUUUACUACUGUCAGAAGGUAUUGGACUCUUUUUAUGGGGGGGCAUGUGGGUGAAGUCGAUUUGCCAGUCCUGCCCUGGCAGGUGUCCUCAGGCCUGGUGUGCAGGAAAGGAGGUGAUUUGAUAGCUUCCUGAGGGGAAGUUUGAGUGCAAAGGGAACAUGCCUUAGAAAUAUUUUUGAGAUUAGCAGCCAUGGUGGGAGAAUGUAUAUAAGCUUUUAAGAGAUGGAGUAGUGGGCAGUAACCAGCAUAAAAAUUGUUGUGCACUUAUAAAAGUACAGAAGUUUUUUGUGACUUGGGUAAGACAAUUUUAUUAUUGAGGUAGGACCAUUUUAAUUCCUGAAUGGUGCCAGCCUAGGUGACUGAAAUUUGUUCCUCUUGGGUAUAUAUAGGGUGUAUGUUGGGAAAAAUGGGCAAUAAUGAUUUUUUAAGGGCUGCCUGCUGGGCUGCCGAACUUGCUAAAAACUUUCCCUUGUUUAUGGCAUUUGUAGCCUUUUAGUGUCCUUUACAAUGGAUAAUGGCAGCCUGUGGUGGUAAUUUAGCUGCUUCCAGCAGCUUAUAUAUGAGUUUGCCAUUUCCUAUGGGGGUUCUUUUUGCAGCUAGAAAAACCCUUUCCGGCUAGCUUAAGGCAUGAGAGUGUAGGAUGUGGUAUGUAUAUUUGGAAUUCAUGUAAAUGUUAAUUCUCUUUCCCUUUGCUAGGGUGAGGGCACUGGUUAGAAAAACUAGCUUCACCUGUUGAGGGGUAGGAUGAGGCGGGAGAGCACUGGAUUUUAGGAGUUUGUUUCUGGCAAUGAUGGUGUAGCCAGCUGCUGGACAUGGCUCCCUAAAAGAGCUUCUGUUAAUGAACCAUGUAGGGGUUCCCUGCAAAGGGGCUUCCAAAAUGUGUUGGAAGUGGGAAGAGAGGGAGUCUAAGAGGUCCAGGCAGGAGUGAGAGAGAGCUCAGAGUUGGAGGUGUUUACAGGGAGAAGGGUGGCCAGGUUGAGAGCUUUACAUUUCUGGAAAGUGAUUUAGAGAGUUUCCUAUGAAUAAGGCAUGUAGCUGCUGUAAGCAGGAUGGUGAGAGGGAUAGAAGAGAAUGAUGGCUUAUGAGGUUCUAUAGGUUAUGGGAAGAUGCAUUACACAUAGUAAUGUGUUGUUAGAAAGUGAGUUUCUGUGCAUCUGAGGCCAGCAAUGUGGCCACACCUAAGAUUUUUAGGCACAGUGGCCAGCCUUGAAUGAGAGUCCGGUUGUUUUGAGAGGUAUGUAACGGCUUGUGGGGCAUUGCUGUAUGUUUGGUAGUCCAUAAGCAAGGCCUUGGUCAGAAUGUACAUACAGAGUAAAGGGCUUGGUGGGGUUGGGCAGUCCCAGUGCUGGGGCCAUUAAAAAGGCAUUUUUUUUAGUUUUUUAAAGUGGGAGUUGAUUGGGCAAGCUGGGUUCAGGAAUUUUAGGAUGGGUCCAUGUGAGGCCGUGUAGAACGGCUUGGCCAGCAAGCCGAACUUGGGAAUCUACAGCUGGAAGUAUCCCACAAGACCCAAGAAGGAGAGGAGGUCCUCCUUUGUGUGGGAAAGAGGAAUGUCCCAGUUUAGCUCAUUUCAUUGGGUUGAGAAGGCCUGAGAAUUAGGCAAUAGAGCAAGCCCAAGGUAAGUGACCUGGGUUUGGGCUACCUGAGCCUUUGUGGGUGAGACCCGAUAUCCUUGACUAUGGAGGAAAUUUAAAAGCUGAGUGGUGUGUUCGAAGGACAGGUUAAGGGAGGGGCUACAGAGAAGGAGGUUAUUGACGUAUUAGAGGAGGGUGCUAGGAAUAAGGGGAAGUUCAGCUAGAUUCUUGGUGAGGGCCUGUCUGAAUAGGUGGGGACUAUCCUGGAACCCCUGUGGGAGUAUGAUCCAUGUUAGUUGGGAGGAUGUGUAUUGGGAUUUGACCAAGUGAAAGCAAAAAGACUUUGGGAAGCAAAGUUUAAGGGAAUAGUGAAAAAGGCGUCCUUUAGAUCCAAUACAGAGAAGUGUGUGGCAGAUGAGGGAAUAUGGGAGAGUAGAGUAUAUGAUUGGGGACCACCAGAUAGACAGGCCUAGUUAACAACUCAGAGAUCCUGGACCAAGAGGUAAGACCCGUCUGUCUUAUUGACAGCUAGGAUAGGGGUGUUGUGGGGAGAGUUGAGAAUUCGAGCUUAUAAAAGUUUACAGAUAGUAGGUUUGAGGUCCCUAAGGCCAGCUGGGUUAAGUGGAUUUUGAGACUGAUGAAGGAAAAUGGAGGGGUUUUGGAGGGUUAUUAUGAUGGGGAUGUGAUGUGUGGCUAUUGUGGGUUUAGAAACGUUUCGAACUUCAGGAUUAACAAAAGGUAACAGGGUGGAUAAUGAGGAUGAGGGGAAGGAGAGUGAAGCAUCUGGGCGGCAGAGUAAAAUAAAAGGGACGAAAUUGCAGGAGGCAAAUUGUAUGGAGACCUGGGAUUUGCUUUGUAUGUCCCGCCCCAAGAUAGGGGUAGGACACUGAGGGAUAAUCAGGAAUGAGUGGGUGAAGGGGGUGUUGAAUAGGUUGCAUAAUAGAGAACCAGUCUGUUUGUACCUAGAGGGGGUUCCAUUGACUCCCACAAAUAGAGAUAGAAGAACUGAGGAGGGGUCCAGAAUAUUCUGGUAAAACUGAGUAACUAGCCUCAUAUUUAAAGGGAAAAGCAUAAGCUUACCAGAGACUGAAAGUGUUACCCUGGGUUCCAAGGCAGUGAUGGCAGUGGGGGUGGUGGAUUCCAGGCCCCAUCAGUCUUCAGUUAGAGGUGGUGAAACGGGAUGAAGAGUUUCGCUGAGCACAGUCCAAUGACCAGUGUUCCUUGAUACCACAGAUGGGGCAAGGUUUUGAGGGUGUCCUGGGAUUAGGGCAGGCUUUUGCCUAGUGACCCUGUUGGCCACACUUCAAACAGUCUUCCGGUGGAGUUUGUUGUGAGGUUGAGGAUUUUUGUAUGCGUUGGGAACCCUGUUGAACGGCAGCUGCCAGCAUCUGGUGUUUAGCCUGGUCCCUUUUUAGCUUUUGGGUUUUCAGUUUUUCCUCUCUAUUGUUAAAGACCUUAAAGGCCACUUUGAUUAAGUCUCUUUGGGAGAUUUGAGGGUCAUCCUCCAGUUUUUAAAGUUUUAUUUAUUUAUUUAUUUCUGGGGCUGACUGGGAAAUGAAGUGUAAAUGAAGGUAGAUUCUGCCCUUACUGGUAUUAGGGCUUAACGUGGUAUAUUUAGUCAUGGCCUCUGAAAGGCAGGAGAGGAAAAGAGCAGGGGCAGCUUUGUUCAUGCCAGCUAGGAGGCAUGAUAUUAUAUGGCCCUGUUUCUGUCUGUCUGCGGAAGUUGCCUGAUAAUCCCAAUUGGAAUUAGUUCUGGGUACAGCUAGGGUCCCUAUUGGGUUAUGGGCAGCAUCUUGUUGGUGGAGGGUGUUUGCAUGGGCCUGGGCAGCUGUCCAGAUGCAUUCCCUGUGCUCCGGGGUGAUGGUGGAGGACAGCAUGACAUAUGUCAUGACAGGUAAGGUCAUAAGAUUGAGUGAUAUUUAGAAAUUCCUUGCAGGAGGUAGAAUUUGUGGGAAAAAAGCCGAGCUUCUUUUCAAGCUGGGAGAGGCUGGCUAGGGAGAAGGAAACAUGAACUCGGAUUGUGCCUUAGGCCCCCACGACCUCCCACAAGGGGAGGACUUUGGAGGACCUUUGGGCAUGUGUCUGGUUUUUGGCAAAAGGGGGUUGAGUGUGAGACCUGGUAUGCAGUGGAGAUGGAGGGGGCAAAGGGCAACAAUAAGGGAGUGGAGGAGCCACAGCUGAACGACAAGGAGGGGAUGGUGGUGGGAGGGGUACAGAGGGAGGGGGUUUGUUAGCCAGGUUGAAAUUAGAGAAGGAAGGCUUGUCUGUAGGAGGAGGUACUUUUGCAGGAUAUUUGUGGAGGAGGAGGAUUUGAAAAGGUGAACAGGGUUGGCAGAGAGACAACCACAAACGGAGAUAAGCAAAGCACCUCGGAUCAUUUACCAUUGCACAGGAGGAAGUUUUUUACAUUAUGUUGAAUUUGGAAAUUGAAGAUUUUGUUGUUUGGCCAUUGACUAUUAUUGUCCAGUUUAUAUUGAAGCUAGGCCACAUUACAGAGGAAGGUACAGAGGCAAGUAAGGUGCUGAGUUUUAACAGAGUCCACCAAGUCCUGGGCUUGUAGGUCCUGCAUGAGACAUACGAGAGGAGUGAAUAAGCCAUUCGGUUUUAAUGGAGUUCGCCAAGUCCUGGGCUUGGAGGUUCCAGAUGAGACAUCCAGAGUGGUGUCUCGAGGAGGUUUUGAAGAGCCUUGCGCCAUACUGGUGGCCAGAAGGGUAAGAAACUUAGAGGAGGGGAGUGAGUACCCCCAUUCCUCCUGUUAGAAGAGAAGUGGGAGAGCCAGAGCAUCCCCGCAGCUCUUCGCGGUUCCCUGGAUACUGGAGUGGCCGGAGCGGCGAACAUUGUGAGGGCGUCCCCUGAGAAGGCAGGCCACGGUCACCUGAUGACCAGAGAGACCUCUCACCCAGCGCUGGGAUUUUCUGUCAACCGGCAGGAAUAUAUGAGUAAUCAGGACAGGAGGAGAAGGAAGACUCGCCUACUAAUUGGAGACCAGUUUGGGUUGUGAUGUCCAGCAAUGGGGGUGAUCCUUGUUGGAGCUGCCCAGAAAGCAGAAGGAAGGAAAAAGAAGAUGCAGAGUUUGAUCAGGAUCUGGAGGUUAGCCCAGGGCCGGAGAAGAAGAGAGAACAAGGGAAUGGGGCUGGGAACAGGGAGUUCCCUCAGGACCUGGAGGCAGGCCCGGGGCCAGUUUUUGCUGCUUGCUGCUUUCCAGGCAGCAAGAGAAGAUUUACGCAUUAGAACCCAAUCCCCGUCCCUGGUUUUGGCACCAAAAUGUUAGGUUUUAAAGGGAAGGUGAAGGUUAAAGAAAGACACACACAGGGCGGCUCAAACAGCAACGCAAGUAUAUUGCAGACACCUAUGGAAGUGGGAGACCAGCUUAAUGCCAAAGCCCACCUCCACUUACAGGCUGGGGUACUUAAAGGUUUGAGCGGGAGGGGUCUGGGCCAUAUGGCUUGCUGCUCAGCAGGAUAUUGAUAAGAUGUUCCCAUGAUGAGGCAGUUCUGGCCCUUUUUCCGGUGGAACAUGGUGUUUCUUUGCACUUUCUCCCAACAGAAUAUGAUAGGGAUGUUUCUUUACUUGGGCCUUUGUCUGACUUGUACUCAGGUGUUAGGCAGGAUGUUUCUCACAGCCAGAACCCCCAUAAAUGUUUCACUUUGACCAAGGUCUACAAAAUAGUGGGUGGUUUACAAAAUGGUGCAGUUUGGACUAACACUUAUUAUGUGCGAGGCACUGAUCUAAGUGUUAAGAAUACAGUGGAGAACAAGACAGAGGGAGCCUGCUCUCAUGAAACUGACAUUCUAAGAGGGAGAUAAAUUCAAAUCAAGUAAACAUAAGCAGAUAAGAUGAUUUUAAAGAGUGGUAAUCUUUAUAAAUCAAAGCAAACAUGAAAGGAAAUGACUGACAAGUAUUUUUCAAGAUUAAUUGGGUAGUCAAGGAAAUCCUCUGAAUAGAGUCUUGAUGUUCAGUAGCCAGCCCAUCCUGCUGGCUUGGGAUAGGCUUCUCAAAAGAAACCCACCCAAAUCUCACAUGCUGGAAGUGGGGCCUGGUGGGAGGUCAUUGGAUCCUGGGGGCGGUUUCUCAUGGUUUACCACUAUCCUCCCUUGGUGCUGUUAUCACGAUAGUGAGCUCUUUUGAAAUUUGGUUAUUUUAAAGUGGGUGGCACCUUCCCUAUCUCUGCCUUCUUCCUGCUCCAGCCAUGUGAAUUGCCAGCUCACCCUUCACCUUCUGCCAUGAUUGUUAAGUUUCCUAAGGCCUCCCCAGAAGCUAAGCAGAUGCCAGCAUCAUGCUUCCUGCACAGCCUGCAGAACCAUGAGCCAAUUAAACAUCUUUUCUUUAUAAAUUA